rnacentral:rRNA from 1 species
GUGGAUUAGAUACCCUGGUAGUCCACGCCCUAAACGAUGAUAACUCGAUGUUGGCGAUAGACAGCCAGCGUCCCAGCGAAAGCGUUAAGUUAUCCACCUGGGGAGUACGCCCGCAAGGGUGAAACUCAAAGGAAUUGACGGGGGCCCGCACAAGCGGAGGAGCAUGUGGUUUAAUUCGAUGAUACGCGAGGAACCUUACCCGGGCUUGAAAGUUAGUGAAGGAUGCAGAGACGCAUCCGUCCUUCGGGACACGAAACUAGGUGCUGCACGGUCGUCGUCAACU